rnacentral:rRNA from 1 species
CAGCCGUAAACUAUGCGCGUUAGGUGUACUGGUGACCACGAGUCACCGGGGUGCCGAAGGGAAACCGUGAAACGUGCCGCCUGGGAAGUACGGUCGCAAGGCUGAAACUUAAAGGAAUUGGCGGGGGAGCACCACAACAGGUGGAGCCUGCGGUUUAAUUGGAUUCAACGCCGGACAUCUCACCAGCAGCGACUGUUACAUGAAAGUCAGGUUGAUGACCUUACUAGAUUUUCAGAGAGGUGGUGCAUGGCGUCAGUGACU